ensembl:snRNA U6 U6 spliceosomal RNA
AAUUGUUUUGGCAAUACAAAUAUUAAACUGGAGCAAUAAAGAGAAAAUUGACAUGGCUCCUACACACAAAUGAUAGGCAAACUUGUAAAGCAUUCCUUAUGCUU